rnacentral:piRNA from 1 species
UGGUCAUUGAGUACUUAAGUCAAUUGUUAUU